rnacentral:rRNA from 1 species
GAUGAACGCUGGCGGCGUGCCUAAUACAUGCAAGUCGAGCGAACGGACGAGAAGCUUGCUUCUCUGAUGUUAGCGGCGGACGGGUGAGUAACACGUGGAUAACCUACCUAUAGGACUGGGAUAACUUCGGGAAACCGUAGCUAAUACCGGAUAAUAUUUUGAACCGCAUGGUUCAAAAGUGAAAGACGGUCUUGCUGUCACUUCUAGAUGGAUCCGCGCUGCAUUAGCUAGUUGGUAAGGUAACGGCUUACCAAGGCAACGAUGCAUAGCCGACCUGAGAGGGUGAUCGGCCACACUGGAACUGAGACACGGUCCAGACUCCUACGGGAGGCAGCAGUAGGGAAUCUUCCGCAAUGGGCGAAAGCAUGACGGAGCAACGCCGCGUGAGUGAUGAAGGUCUUCGGAUCGUAAAACUCUGUUAUUAGGGAAGAACAGAUGUGUAAGUAACUGUGCACAUCUUGACGGUACCUAAUCAGAAAGCCACGGCUAACUACGUG